rnacentral:rRNA from 1 species
UACGGAGGAUGCAAGCGUUAUCCGGAAUGAUUGGGCGUAAAGCGUCCGCAGGUGGCUGUGUAAGUCUGCUGUCAAAGAGCAAAGUUCAACUUUGUAAAGGCAGUGGAAACUACACGGCUAGAGUGCGUUCGGGGCAGAGGGAAUUCCUGGUGUAGCGGUGAAAUGCGUAGAGAUCAGGAAGAACACCGGUGGCGAAGGCGCUCUGCUAGGCCGCAACUGACACUGAGGGACGAAAGCUAGGGGAGCGAAUGGG